AAACCUUUCUCUUCUGUUCCCAUCUAAUCCCGUCCCCUCUCUCUAUCAGAAGAGUGUAAGUGUAAUUAACCUUUUUCUGGGCAUCCGCCCAAUUCCACAGAUACGAUGGCACGCAUGUCUCUCUGUCUCUCUCUCACUCACACACACACACACACACACACACACACACACAGUACAACCUUGGGGUUGGGGGGGGGGGUCAGAGCACAAACUGCACACCCUCCGAGUAAAACGCAUGUGAGUAUUAUUAACAUGUUUGAGAACAAGCUGUUGACGCUCACCAGAAAUAACACAAUUGGGUUUCUUUAUCAUUACAAGUUAUAUAGCAUGCAAAAACCUUAUUUACGAUCAGGUUUUAAAGCUAUGAAGGCAUACGAAGCGUGACAAGAGUUAAAAACGCAUUAGGAGUCAAUUUCUGACCCUUUACUUCAUCACUACCGGCCAAUUGGACUGAUAAACCUCUAAACUGCUGUAUUCAGACUAUCGGUUUCUUGAGGUGAUGUCUCUAAUAAAAUAUUUCUAUCUGGCUGUGAAGUAACAGUUUCCAGGAACCCCAGAAAUCCAGAUGUUUGCUUCACACAUGAAUCAUGAAUUUACGGUAACCUAGAACAUUACGAGCUGAUAUCAUCACAGAGAAAUAAUCAAAAGAUAGAGGAAAGUUCCACCAGUAGUCAAGACGUGUGCACAAGCAAAGGAGGGAAAUUUGGAUGCCAAAUGUCUUGGCUGAUUGAAUACAUUUGAGCUAAGUGGGGAAAUUUCUCUACACCUCUAAUCCUGUGACUACGGAUCAUGGCUUAUAAUACGUCCUUGGCUUGUUAUAGAUCAAUUCUGACAGGAGUGAUAUUUUUGGUUUGACCCACUUGACAGUGGACCAAGUGAUAAUGAUACCAAAAAUGAAUUUCACACCCUGAUCCAAAUACUCCAGAACAAGAGCAUGGAGUUCCCUGUCAAACCCUCCCCACCCAGAUAUCUGGAACCAUCCAUUUGAAUACAGUACCUUCCACUACUAUUGGCACCACAAAGAUUAAAAUGGGCCAUGGUUGGAAUUCCAGCAAGACAGUGAUCCAAAGCAUACAUCAAAAUCAACACAGAAAUGGUUUACUGAGCACAAAAUCAAGGUCCUGCCAUGGCCAUCCCAGUCCCCUGACUGAACCCCAAAGAAAACCUGUGGGGUUAACUGAAGAGGAGAGUCCACCAGCGUGGACCUCGAAAUGUGAAGGAUCUGGAGAGAUUCUGUAUGGAGGAAUGGUUUCAGAUCCCUUGCCAUGUGUUCUCCAACCUCAUCAGGCGUUAUAGGAAAAGACUCAGAACGGUUAUCUUGGCAAAGGGAGGUAGUACAAAGUAUUGGCUAAAAGGAUGCCAAUAAUUGUUGCACACCUAUAUUUAACAUUUUUUUAGGAUAAACCUGUGUUUUGUUUGCAAUUGUUUGAUAACCAUGAGAGCAGAGUAUUUCUGUUAAUCUUUUGAACAUAAGAUCAAAAGGUUAAACAAUAAAGACCAUUUUUCACAGCCUUCUUUGCUCAUAUUUAACAAGGGUGCCAAUAUUAUUGGAGGGCACUGUAUGUUCUUGUGACUCACCUUCGGCUGUUGCGGAUUAUCCCACAUGGAUACCCUAAAGAUUUGUACUUCCCCAAAACAUUUUCUUGCUUCAGUGGAUAAUCUCCUACUUAAGUACUAUCCAGUGGAGAACUUCUACUUAAGAACCGCUGCUGUAAUCAUAAAAAACUGUCCCGUUGCUUAUCCCAGGACUCUUAUUUAUGAUCUACUCAUAGUGAUCAUCCCUUUUUCAAAAUCACACUCAGUCCUGUUUGUGUUUACUCUUCUAUACAUGUACAUUGUAAUGAUUAAGAUUGUCACAUAACAGCUUUACAGAAAUCAAUCAAUGUCUAUUGGUAAA